CAAAAAACUCAAAACUCCAAAAAGGCAAAAACGUGGUCAGGGAACAGGAGACAAGGACAAGGACAUGGGCAUGGGCUUCUGACGAGGAACAUUUAGUCAUGACGCCACAAAUGACAACAGACACACAUGGCUUAAAUACACUAGGGAGGUGCAGGUGAUUGGAAACAGCUGGAAACAAUCAUGACAUGACAGACAAUCACAGGGGAAGACAGGAAGUGCCGUGACCCAGGGAGAACAGAGGCAAGAAACUACAAAAUAAAACCAGACAUGAACCCAAACCGUGACAACUAGGUGGUUACGGCAUCUAUUUAGAGCGGCAUAGCUUUGUAUGCAGUGUGUGUUAAAAACAGGCUUGGUAAGUUCAUUGUGUUUUAUUUUUUUAAGAAAACGAAGUGUCAGGUCUUGUCUCAGAAUGUACCCCUAGGGCUUUUGUUAUGCCCUUGUAUAAUGAUAAUAUCAGACAUUUUGAGACCAUUGUAACAUAUUUAUCACUAAGGAGGAAUCCCAACAGGUUAUCAAUUAUAUAUGCACAGGUAAAAUAACUAAAUCACUGCCCUUUUCCACAUUUAAUACAUUGUGCUCGAUAAAUGUGUUGUGUGAUCUCCAUCAGUCCAAUCUCAGAAUCAAUAAAGUGAAGUUAUUGAAUGAAGAAUUAAUACACAUUAUUGAAAAGUGUAAAGUCAAACGUUAACACAUUUAGUUUCUUUAAUGCUACUAUUCUGAACAGCUUUUCACUGCAUGCUGUGCAGGGAGGAAGGGAUUGUUCAUCCCAUUAUGUGAACUGUACACCUAACAUGCAUCAAACUAUAUAGGACAUUUGUCUCCCCCUGUUUAAAAACCCCCAACUAAGAACAAAAUCCAUGGCCCAUGAGAUUAAAAGUAUAUACCUGAUCUUUAUGGACAAAUCAGCCAGUCCCGCAAAUCUGUCUGGUAUUAUUCAUGUGGCAUCAGCCCACAUAAGCAGAUUAUUAAAAAGGAGCCCCUGGACAUGAAGCAGUUAGCAUCAGCCUGCAAACAACUCUAAUUUUGACAGCAGAACCAUUGCCAAAUUUUGAUAAUAAUGUAAAAGUAUUUAAAUGUCAAUACCACUAGCGGCCUCAAACUUUGACUAAUUUUAGGUUUGCGGUUGUGCCGUAUUAUUGUUUUUUGCUAACCUAAUCCUGCUUCAUACUUAGCUACAACUUUAUCCUUGAGCUGUUGGCUGAGCUCCUUGUUCUUCAUGAUGCUCUUUGUUCAGUAAUAAACUCAAACUCUGAGACCUCCACAGAACAGGUGUAUUUAUACUGAGAUUAAAUUGCAGACAGGUGGACCCAAUUUACUAAUUGCAUAAAUUUAAAACACCAAUGAAAUAAAUUUGAAUCUGUGGUUAUACCAUGACAAAAUAUAGAAAGGUCCAAGGGGGGUGAGUACAAGGCACUGUACAUGCUUUUUUUCCUGGUUUACACUAGUGGCAUUUCUAAUAUAUUAUGGAGCACUGCAAUGUUUGAUUUGUUUUUCACUGACAUAUCCUAGAAAAAAAACAUUAUGUUAUUUAGCUGACAUACAUUUCAUCAAUCUAUCUUGAACACAUGCAUUAUCUUAGAUUAGGUAGAUUAGUCAAAAAUAAACACAUACAUACAUAAUCCUGUGCGUUUGUGUGUGUGAGUCAGAGGGACAGAUGCUUGCGCAGUGGGGACACCGUCCCCUGACAGGUGACAACUCUAAUCGCAUUGAAAACCUUAUGGCCACCAGACCGGGGUCACAUUGUUAGUUAAAAGCUAUGUGGUUCUCAGGGGUAGAUCUCUUUAACCUGCCUGUCAAAGCCCAUGACGGACCGACCGAUGUUAGAAAACAGCUGGGCUACCGGCAUUAUUUUUGCACCCUCAAAAAUGUAUUUUGUGCAAUUUAAUUUACCAUUAGCGGCAAAAUCUGGCAGGAAAUAUUAAUACACAGUCCCAAAUUAUCAUUUGGUAAUACCUACUUUACGCACAGCAAAGAGCUUACUGACUAAGAGCUGGGGGCUCACAAUUCACUUAGCAACAGCAGCUUGGGUCCUGUGCCGAAGAACCGUUCGCCAGAUGUUUGUUCACUGCAAAACAAAGGAUUGUCACACAAGGUCGGUAUAUCAGACAAUGUUGACAGUCAUGUCUUUUUCACAUGCUUUAUGAUCGCUUUAGUGCUCAGGUUGUGUUCCUCCUGCCGUUUCUGUGUGGCCCUUUUUCUCCAAUGUGUCAGUUCCUUAUAAUUGCUUUAUUUGAUUCAGGUUAAUUUCCAGUGCUGGAUGUAAAUCUUAUUGUGCAUUGACUACACUUCUACUGAUUCCAAUCUAGUCUGUUCCACGCUGGUGACCUGAACCAUUGAACCUCCUUAUUAUAUUACCGUGUUUAUUCUUUUUAUCUACAGCCUCUCUGUGCAGAUCUCAAGGGCCCAUUCACCAGUCAUCAGAAUGCAUUGUUGACAUCUAGACAUUGAGCAUUAAAGCAUUAAUGUUUUAAUUAGGAUUUUGAAAAUAUGUUGGUAUGUCAUAUUUCAUUAAUACUACAUUAAUAAAUAAUUUGAAAGACAAUUGGAAAAACAAAAAUGGGAAGACUAGCAAAAACAAACCACGUAUAUCAUUUAAAAGUACUUCAUCUACAAGGUGGCUUAAUCAAUAAGCAUUAGAGUGAAAGUGAAUCACCAAAUUCAAUCAGUUACAAACAAUAGAUACUAGGAGAGACAGCUUAAUUACAGGAGCAGUCCUUCUCUAAAUAAUUAAAGUAAUGGUAUGCACAUAAAUACCAAUACAUUAAUAAAUGGUUAAAAUCUGCAGGAGAAAAAGCUAUAUUUUCAUUAAAUGUCAUUUAGCUGACGCUUUUAUCCAAAGCGACUUACAAUAAGUGCAUUUCAACCAUAAGGAUACAGACUCAGAAGAACAAGAAGUAAUUUGCAUCAAAUAAGCCAAUCUACAACUUGCUAAAGAUAAGAGCCAUUACAAUUUAAGUGCUACAAUUUGUUAGUCUUUUUUUUAAAUAACAUUCUAUGCCAUUGAAAGCUAUGUAUUGCUUCAGUUUCUCAAUUGAGCUCAAAUUGAAAUUCUAGGCCAUAAAGCAUCAU
ensembl:lncRNA